rnacentral:rRNA from 1 species
GAUAAACGCUGGCGGCGCACAUAAGACAUGCAAGUCGAACGGAAGUCGUUAUAAAAAGGAUUGAAGAUUUAUCUGAUUGAGAUUUUUAUAACAAUGGCUUUAGUGGCGGACUGGUGAGUAACGCGUGAGCAACCUGCCUACUAGAGGGAAAUAACAGUGAGAAAUCAUUGCUAAUACCGCAUAUGCCAUGAACAUCACAUGAUGAAAAUGGGAAAAGAGUAAUCUGCUAGUAGAUGGGCUCGCGUCUGAUCAGAUAGUUGGUAGGGUAACGGCCUACCAAGUCGACGAUCAGUAGCCGGACUGAGAGGUUUGAACGGGCCACAUUGGGACUGAGAUAC